ACGGUGGCCCUGAGGUGCAAAACACAACAGCAAAUCGGUAAACACAACAUAAAAAUAGAAAACACAAUGGUUUAUGUUGUUGUGUUUUCUCUUUUGCCGUUGUGUUUUGCACCUAAGGGCCACCGUA